rnacentral:rRNA from 1 species
CUCAGUUCGGAUUGGAGUCUGNAACCCGACUCCAUGAAGCUGGAUUCGCUAGUAAUCGCGCAUCAGCCACGGCGCGGUGAAUACGUUCCCGGGCCUUGUACACACCGCCCGUCAAGCCAUGGGAGCCGGGGGUACCUGAAGUGCGUGACCGCAAGGAGCGCCCUAAGGUAAAACCGGUGACUGGGGCUAAGUCGUAACAAGGUACC